CGUGAGCGAAGGCGCUGAAUCCUGAGGGUCAGAUCUCCAAGAAGGAGGGAGGCUGGUCCUAGUUCCCGAGGUCCUAGACUAGGUCUAGAUCACUGGGUAAAAGAAGGGGAGCGGCAGCACGUAUGGGCCCUACCUCUUCUUCCGGCCCGGCUCGUCAUGGCGGCGCCCUGAGUAGCCACUUCCGCCCUCUUCUGGCUAAAUUGCUUCAUCCCUAUUUCCGGCUUGCCAUGGCAGCGCUCGGGGUUUAACGGAAGUAAGCAAUGGAAAGUAUGGUGGUGCCUCGGGUCCAAAGAGAAUGCGCCGCUGAGUUGCGCGGCACCUGACGGGAUUGAGCCUCAGACACAAGCGCUCCAAAUCUCCGACUGUAGCUGGUGGGAAGCGCCUGCUGUUGCUGCAGCGUCUCAACAUGUUGUUCCCAUUUUCGUUGGGUGCUGUAGCGAUCUUUCAAGACUCUAGUCAAAAUGAGCAGAACAUUUUGCAGUUAAUCAUAGAGUUGAAGAUGAACGAGAAGAUGAACGAGAGCUACUUGAUUGUGAACUAGUAACGACCACUUGGAGUCGCAGUGUGUCUGUAAAAUGAUGAUGACAGUGACAUCAUAGAGGACAUAGUGCAAGUGAACAGUUUGAUACUGAGCUUGGAGCCUCAGUAGUUCUGGAUAAGUGAGAGCUGUACGGGAGGUUGUAACCAUGAGCUACCCUGGUUGGCAGUUGACAUCCGAGGACCAGCACUGGUCAUCGCACAGAAAGAAAACUUUACACCUU
rnacentral:lncRNA from 10 species